UACGUAGGGGGGCAAGCGUUGUCCGGAAUCAUUGGGCGUAAAGAGCGCGUAGGCGGUCCGGUAAGUCCGCUGUGAAAGUCAAGGGCUCAACCCUUGAAUGCCGGUGGAUACUGUCGGGCUAGAGUCCGGAAGAGGCGAGUGGAAUUCCUGGUGUAGCGGUGAAAUGCGCAGAUAUCAGGAGGAACACCGAUGGCGAAGGCAGCUCGCUGGGACGGUACUGACGCUGAGGCGCGAAAGCUAGGGGAGCAAACAGG
rnacentral:rRNA from 1 species